CGUUAAGCUCAGUUGGUAGAGUCGUAGUUGACUUUUAAUCAAUUGGUCGCAGGUUCGAAUCCUGCACG
rnacentral:tRNA from 1 species